AUUGAACGCUGGCGGCAGGCCUAACACAUGCAAGUCGAACGAGUGGCGGACGGGUGAGUAAUGUCUGGGAAACUGCCUGAUGGAGGGGGAUAACUACUGGAAACGGUCGCUAAUACCGCAUACCAUAAGAUGUGCCCAGAUGGGAUGAGCGAGUUGGGGGGGUAACGGCUCACCAGGGCGACGAUCCCUAGCGGGCCUGAGAGGAUGACCAGCAAAACUGGAACUGAGACACGGUCCAGAUUCCUACGGGAGGAAGAGGGGGGGAAUAUUGCACAAUGGGCGAAAGCCUGAUGCAGCCAUGCCGCGUGUAUGAAGAAGGCCUUCGGGUUGUAAAGUACGUUAAGCGGGGAGGCGUUACCCGCAGAAGAAGCACCGGCUAACUCCGUGCCAGCCGCCGCGGUAAUAC
rnacentral:rRNA from 1 species